rnacentral:lncRNA from 1 species
CAGACACUUGGAGAGGCAGUAGGAUGGUGACGUCUGCUGCCUCUCGGAGUGACAGGAUCAUGAGAACUGACUCGGUCACCUCAGGGGAAUGGAUGUGA